rnacentral:piRNA from 1 species
UAUACAUUUUGUUUUUUCAAC